rnacentral:rRNA from 1 species
GACAGAGGUGGCAAGCGUUGUUCGGAUUCAUUGGGUGUAAAGGGUCCGUAGGUGGUCGGGUAAGUCUGAUGUGAAAUCCCAUGGCUCAACCGUGGAACGGCAUUGGAAACUGCUCGACUUGAGUGCCGCAGAGGUGAAGGGAAUUCCCGGUGUAAGGGUGAAAUCUGUAGAUAUCGGGAGGAACACCAUUGGCGAAAGCGCUUCACUGGGCGGUUGCUGACACUGAGGGACGAAAGCAAGGGGAGCAAACAGG